rnacentral:tRNA from 1 species
CUGGGGUUGGGGCUCAGCGGUAGAGCACUCGCCUAGCACAUGUGAGGUGCGGAGUUCAAUCCUCAUCACCACAUA